AGCCUUUGUGUUGCCUGUUUACUUUUGGUCACUAGUGAACGUGGUGUCAAAAAAGGCAUAAAUACACGCUUUGCAGCUUGUCCUUUCUCUUGAGUUUGGUAUCUUGGGUGUAGGCACUGUGUAAGUAAGUCUA